CAACUUUCAGCGACGGAUGUCUCGGCUCGAACAACGAUGAAGGGCGCAGCGAAGUGUGAUUGCCUGAGAAAGGUGAACAAUUGGGAAAAUCUGAUGGAGGCUGAAAGUAUACCGGACGUGGAAAUAUUCCGAGAAAGCAUGCCUGCUUCAGUGUCUA
rnacentral:rRNA from 1 species